ensembl:lncRNA novel transcript
GAACCGGGUCGCGGCGGCCGAGGCUCGGGGUGAGUGAGGGGCGGCAGGGCUCUGAGCCUGGCGGGUUCCGGCUAUUCCCUUCGCGGUCCAGUUUAGUCCACUGCGAGGGCACCUGCAGCGCCGGGAUCUGAGUGCGAAACUCCGAGCGGAAGCUGGUCUGGCAGCCUCCAGGACCACUGGCUGCCCAUGAGAGACGAAGGAUGGCAUCCAAGGGGGCCGGCGUGUCUUUCUCCCGCAAGAGCUGUAGGCUGACCUCAGAUGCUGAGAAAUCCAGGGUCACAGUUACUCGGGAGGCUGAGGCAGGAGAAUCGCUUGAACCGGAGAGGCGGACGUUGCAGUGAGCCGAGGUCAAACCAGUGCACUCCAGCCUGGGCAACAGAGCGAGACUCCAUCUGAAAAAGAAACAAAAAGAAAAAAAAA